UAGGCAAUCCAUUUGGAGUAUGCAUAACUCCCCAUCACACGCUGGCCGAUGGACUGUGAUCGUUGCUCUCGUGAGCCCUGUGGGAGUAUUACAGGACUUUGUGAUGAAGCCUCUGCCUUUCCUAUUUAAAUGUGUCACCCGGGUAGCCUUUGGCUGUGGCUGAGGAGUUGCAGUGGACCCUGCAAUGACGGCGUCAGCCUCCGAGCGCAGCCGAUGCGUGCGGCAUUCAUAAGAGACCCAGGCAUUGCUAGGAGAACGAUGCAGGCAGAUAAAAUCCGUGGCAGAGCACCCCAUCCUGGCUGAGGGGGUUCCUCCGAGCAGGUCAGUCACCGUUUGUCUCUGCAGGGGAAGUGUAAAUGGUGACUCUUACAGCACUGUUCUUUGGUUUUGUUUUUAGGAAGUAAAGCUGGAUAUCAGCAGUCAAGGUGAGCGGUGACCAGUGGACAGAAGCAGUUGUUAUUGCUGGGGUCUCAGUUUCUGGUGCAACUCUAAGCCUUCUGUCUUGUUUGUGUGCUUUAGGCAAUCCAUUUGGAGUAGGCUGAGCCCCCCCACCCCCCAACCGGCCGAUG